GGACUGCCGGGCUGGGACCUUCUAGCGUCGUGCGAGUCGCGCUCAGCUACGGGCGAGCGGGCGGCUCCCGGCGAAAUGCAGAAAAGGCCUCUCCGGGGCCCCCCGCUGCCCGGGAGCUCGGCGAUCUGCAGAAGAAGGCCUCUCCGGAGACCCCGGCGGCACGCCGAAGCACCCCACUUGGGCUUCUGCUCUCGCAGCUGUGCACAUGCCUCGGGCGCCCUGCUCUCGGACGGCAGUGCUGGCUGCAGAAUGACAGAUUGCAAUCUUCACUAAAGCCAAUCUUUCAAAGGUAAAAUGAAGAUAAUGUUCCAGGGAAACAGACAAUUAGAAGACACAAUGCCAUGCCUGCCACCAAGGCAAUGUGAUACAUCCCUGAUAUUCUCAGCAACAAAAGGCCUUCUCCAAAAUGCUUUCAUCUGCCACUGUGUAUGGGAGGGUCACUUUCAGCUUCUGAUUUUCAUCCAUUGUCUGACAGAUGAUCUCAUAGGCAUUCCUAUUCCCUGACCAGCAACGACGAGCCACCUGUCAAAUCACAGAGAAAGGAAUGGAGAAAAGGCAGAAGAGGAAACUCGGUAGAGGGUUUAAUCAGCCCCUGAAGAGGAACUGGGAUUCAAGGAGACCUUGGCCGGUUUAACCAUCCCUGGCAUCACAUCUACAAUCAUGACAUGAACUUGAUGACAUUUCUCUUUCUCUCGGUCCUCCUUACC